CCUACGGGAGACAGCAGUGGGGAAUAUUGCACAAUGGGGGAAACCCUGAUGCAGCGACGCCGCGUGAGUGAAGAAGUAAUUCGUUAUGUAAAGCUCUAUCAGCAGGGAAGAAAAUGACGGUACCUGAGUAAGAAGCCACGGCUAACUACGUGCCAGCAGCCGCGGUAAGACGUAGGGGGCAAGCGUUAUCCGGAUUUACUGGGUGUAAAGGGAGCGUAGACGGCAGUGCAAGUCUGGAGUGAAAGGCGGGGGCUCAACCCCCGGACUGCUCUGGAAACUGUACGGCUGGAGUGCAGGAGAGGUAAGUGGAAUUCCUAGUGUAGCGGUGAAAUGCGUAGAUAUUAGGAGGAACACCAGUGGCGAAGGCGGCUUACUGGACUGUAACUGACGUUGAGGCUCGAAAGCGUGGGGAGCAAACAGGAUUAGAUACCCGAGUAGUC
rnacentral:rRNA from 1 species